GGAUUGUGGCUCAGUGGUAGAGCACUCGCCUAGCAUGUGUGGGGUUCAGGGUUCGAUCCUCAUCACCA
rnacentral:tRNA from 1 species